CAGGCCCAGCUGCAGGCUGGGGGAAGGCCAGGCUGGGAUUUCAGGGGGAGAGUUUCAGAAGGAUGAGAAAUAAUCAGGGAAGAGGCAAGUCCAGGAGCUGUGAGCUGCGUGGAAAGAAUGUGAAUGAAGACACAAUUCUAAAUGUAGAACCACGGACGCUAUGUGAGCUGGCUCCCUAAUCAUCCAGAAAAACAAGGCCUGCGUGUACAUUCUGCAAGAGCAUAAAUAAAGCUGUCCUCAGGCGGCGGGCUACGGCAUCCCAUCCUUGCAGUGACUUCUCUGGCCCCAGCUCGUGGCCGAACCCCUGGAACAGAGGCGGGAGGGGCCCAGCUGCCUGACCGCCUGGGUGAAAAUGGCCUCGCUCUUGCCUGGAUGUGCUUGAUGCUUACUAACCUCAUUCUGCAGCAAACUGGCUCUGUUCUGCAUCUGUCUUAUUCAGAAAUGUUCAAAAGCUGGUGAUGGGGGUAAUGCAGAAUUUCUGGGGCUGGGUGUUGGAAGCUUGCGUCCCCACAAAUGACAUGAGGCGACUCCCACCAUUCUUCCACCAUUGUGGUUGUACCAGACUGCUUGUCAGGAGGCCUCAGCAGAGGUUUCUUCACUAGUGCUCAUUCUUCUUUACGAGUUGUUUGCAUAAACUUCUUCAGGAGGGUGGAGCAUUUCCUGGGCUUAGUAAUAACAGCAAAAUAGUAAAUGCUAGCUAAUACUUACCAAACCUAUAACUCGGUGCCCUGCACUGUCCUGAGUCUUUACCUAAAUUAACCUUGAUGCUGUACUCUCUUUAUCUUAGGGCCUGGCACCAUUUUGUUCUAGCCCCACCGAUUGCUACCUGUCAGGGAGCUAAGCAAAGACACGAUAAGGAAACCGGUAUUUCCCGAGCAUGCAUUAUGUGCCAGGCACCGCCUGUGUGUUCUUUUACUGAAUCCUCAUGCUAUCCCAGUGUGAUGUCUGUACAUACCCCCUCUUUACAGAUGAGCAAACUGAGGCUUUCAGAGGUCCUGGAUGUCAUUCAGCUAACAGUGGCACUGAGGAUGCAGAUGAGGGUUUGUCUGUCUGCCUGUCCAGUCUGUAUAUCUCUGUUGCACCCCCCAGCCCUCAACAUAAGCGCACUCCCAGCCCAAGUCCAGGGAACAUGGCUGCCUUCCACCCACCUGUUUUCCUUGCCUCUCCCUGGCAAGGGAGCAAAGUCUGGCCAGGGCACCUCCUUAGCUACUGAUUUGUUAUGGGAACUGAGGGGAUUCUGUACCUCAGUGUCGGCCCAGUGAAAGUAUAUCCUCAGGGCUGGUGCAAGGAUGGGACGUCACUGUAGGGGGUACUGCUGGAGCUCGGGCCUCGGCCGGCUGCUCACCUGCUGAGGGGCCUGAGCAAUCAGACCCCUCCCUUUAGAUGGAUUUUCUUACCAGGAACUCUGAGUUGGCUCCUUGUGAAGGGAUGUUACGUGGUGAUGUGUGUCUGGUGCCUAGCUCAGAGGAGCUGGAUAUAUCGAGCUGAAGGGGGGGGGCACCUGUUUGCAGCUCACAGCUGGAAAACAGCCCACUGGCUCAGGUUGCUGGUACCCCUUCCCUAGGGAUGCUGCUCUCCUAGCCUCGCCAGCCUCGUGCCAGGAUGGGAGUGUCAUAGUCUUUUCUCGAGUCGCCUGGGCCAGGGGGACUCUCCUUAAGGCCUUUCCUUCAGAAUUCUUUGCUUAGGAGUUUCUAGUGAAGGAUUUCGAUGCAAGAAAUAGAACGUGUGCUGUGAAAUGAAGUAAAUCCAGUUUAUUAAAAUGCCAACAUAAUCAUGGUGGCCAGCAGAGAGGUCAGCCACCGUGCACGUGGAGUCUGUGUAAGCCAUCUCUCCUCCUGGAGGGAUCUGGAAGUCGAGAGUCAGGAGGAGAAGGGGGAGUGGAGAGCUCUACUCCCUCACAUAUGGGCCCACAAACUUUUUCUGUUAAGAGGCUAAAGUAAAUGUUUUCAGCUUUGCGGGCCAGAUGGUCUUUGUCACAACUGCCCAGCUCAGCACUGCAAGGUGGUCAGAGCUGAUCCGUAAACAAAGGGAUGUGGCUGAGUUCCAAUAAAACUUUAUUUGUGGACAUACAGAUUUGAAUUUUGCAUAAUUUUCCCAUAUCACAAAAUAUUCCUGUUUUGGUUUUACCACUUAAGUAUGUCAAAAGCAUUUUUAGCCUAUGAGACUACACAACACCAGGGGCAGGACAGGUUAGCUCACGGAUCAGACGUGCUGAGUAUUGAGCCACUCUCUCCGCUUCAGCCACCGCCAAGCACAUGGGCUAAUGGGCACCCGAAACCUGGCUAGUCUGAACCGAGACAUGCUGUGAGGGGGGGGAAACGCACACUGGAUUUCCAAGACGGUGCCCCAAAAAAGUCCUCCCAAAACAAAAACAGACUGCGAAAGAUCUUCUGUAUAGAAUAGUGUAUUGAAUCUUGUGUGGAUAUGAUGAUACUUUGCAUGUUGUGGCUUUAAUAAAAUAUAUUAUUAAGAUUGCUUUUACAUAUUUCUUUUUACUCUUUUAAUGUGGCUACUGGCAAAUUUAAAAUGACACACGUGGCUCACGCCAUGUAUUUCUAGUGAGUGGGGCUGGGCUGCUCUUCUCCUGGCUGUGACCCUGCCCCUCAUCGUCCACUGUUGCCAUGAGGCCAGUCUGUUCCUGGGAUCAGGGCUGAUGUGGUCACGGUGAAAAUGUCUCAACUUCUCCAUCGUCAAGUGCUCUGAGUUCAGAAGUUACACAGGAACUGUGUAUUCCUAGAUCACUAGUAUUAUUAUUUCUAUUUGGUUCUUCCAUUAUCUGUAAAAAAGUGAACCUUAAGAAAUUAAACUUUCUGCCGAUGAAGAAAAAUGGGGAUAGUUACCACUUUCUGAGCACCUACUGGAUACUGGGUUAACGGUCUCAUACCCAGUGUAUAUUUUAAUUUUCACAACCACCCAGGGGAGUGGGGAGACCAUUCCUAUCUCCAAUUCCAAAUGCAAAACAAAAUCAGAGAGGUAAAAAUCCCUUGCCCCAAAUUAUGUAAUUGACGGUGGAGCUGGUCUCAAUUUUAGGUCACCUGGUCUGCCUAAACUGACUUUUUCCCCUGGUGCCAUAAUCACUGAAGUGCCCCUAGAAGCAGGGUCUCCUGGCAGAAUUGUUUGACUGGAUGUGGAGGAAGAGGAUCAUAAGGCAGGGCUGGGGUACAAAGCCAAAAUGUGUUCUCUUGCUGUUCUGCACCCCCAGGCAUUGCCUGCUCUGUCCCCCAGCAGCAGCGGGGGAGGAAGGCCACUGUUUAACUGUUCCAUAACCACCUCUGGCCCAGGAGUAAUAUGAUUGCUUUGACCUCAGAGAUGGACCAAUAUAAGAAUCACUUCUCUCACCCUGGCUCCAGCCAUACUGCCUCCUUGCUCCUCUUCAUGUAUGCAGCUCCAUCCUGCCUCAGGGCCUUUGCACCUGCUGAUCCUCUGCUUGGAGCUUUCUGCCCCUGAUCUUUACAAGGCUGCUUCUUUCUCCCCAUUCAAGUGUCAGCUCAAGGGUCACUUCCUCAGUGACCAUCCCAUCUAAAGACUCUCACUCUCAGCCCUGGUCAUCCUCCAUUCUGUUUAUAUCCUUCAUACCAUCUCCUUCUUUGGUCAUGGGUUUAUGCUCUGUGGAUGCCCUCUCCAGAAUGCAAGCUCCAAGAGGACUUUUAUUUUGUCUGCCUUCUUGUCACCCCCUAAUGGGUGAUGGUGGGUGAAUGGGAAAGCACUGGGGGUGAGGGGGGCUCCUUACGGCCUUGCAUCUCCCCCCCGCCAUUACGAACUCAGUGUUGGCUUUAUCUCGGGGCGGUGGUUCCCAAGUCAGCUGGAGGGCUGGUGAAAACAUGGAUUGCCGUGGCCCUCCCUCAGAGUGUGUAUCUCUAACAAGUUCCCAGGUGGUGCUCACCCUGCUGGCCCAAGGACCACCCCCGGAGAAGAAGAUGCUGCUACUGGCCAAGCCAGGCCCAUGCCACUGUUGCAACAGGUGGCUGUCUGGGAGCUGCUGCUUCCCAGUGGCUUCCCACUCAAGGUGAAGCUUUAUCCUCCCUGCGUCUCCGACGUAGAUCUACAGCAGGGUGAAGAAAACCUAAUUCCUACUUUUGACCAGAGAUUAUAGUUGGAUCAGCUUGCAGGAAACCUGAGUGCAGAGUUUUGGUGGGGCGCUUUCAGUUCCCCCACCCCGCUCACCCUGCUGGAGACACCUUGUCCUGACAAAGUUUUAGGGCACAGAGCAGGAAGCGGACAGCACAGUGGGACAGGGACUGGCUCAAGCGACUUUCAAGGUGGGGAUAGAGCCAGUCCGCACUCUUAGCCAGCCAUGGGGGCCGGACCCUGAACACCCAGCCCUGCCACCCUCCUGGCCACUGGACACCAUCAAACACUUGGAGAACUGGGAG